rnacentral:rRNA from 1 species
CGCGGCCUAUCAGCUUGUUGGUGAGGUAACGGCUCACCAAGGCAUCGACGGGUAGCUGGUCUGAGAGGAUGAUCAGCCACACUGGGACUGAGACACGGCCCAGACUCCUACGGGAGGCAGCAGUGGGGAAUAUUGCACAAUGGGCGCAAGCCUGAUGCAGCGAUGCCGCGUGCGGGAUGAAGGCCCUAGGGUUGUAAACCGCUUUCAGCAGGGAAGAAAAUGACGGUACCUGCAGAAGAAGGUGCGGCCAACUACGUGCCAGCAGCCGCGGUGACACGUAGGCACCAAGCGUUGUCCGGAUUUAUUGGGCGUAAAGAGCUCGUAGGCGGUUCAGUUAGUCGGGUGUGAAAACUCUGGGCUCAACCCAGAGACGCCACCCGAUACUGCUGUGACUAGAGUACGGUAGGGGAGUGGGGAAUUCCUGGUGUAGCGGUGAAAUGCGCAGAUAUCAGGAGGAACACCAGUGGCGAAGGCGCCACUCUGGGCCGUAACUGACGCUGAGGAGCGAAAGCAUGGGUAGCAAACAGGAUUAGAUACCCUGGUAGUCCAUGUCGUAAACGUUGGGCACUAGGUGUGGGUCUCAACCAACGAGAUCCGCGCCGUCGCUAACGCAUUAAGUGCCCCGCCUGGGGAGUACGG